GACGAACGCUGGCGGCGUGCCUAAUACAUGCAAGUUGAGCGCUGAAGGUUGGUACUUGUCCCAACUGGAUGAGCAGCGAACGGGUGAGUAACGCGUGGGGAAUCUGCCUUUGAGCGGGGGACAACAUUUGGAAACGAAUGCUAAUACCGCAUAAAAACUUUAAACACAAGUUUUAAGUUUGAAAGAUGCAAUUGCAUCACUCAAAGAUGAUCCCGCGUUGUAUUAGCUAGUUGGUGAGGUAAAGGCUCACCAAGGCGAUGAUACAUAGCCGACCUGAGAGGGUGAUAGGCCACAUUGGGACUGAGACACGGCCCAAACGCCUACGGGAGGCAGCAGUAGGGAAUCUUCGGCAAUGGACGAAAGUCUGACCGAGCAACGCCGCGUGAGUGAAGAAGGUUUUCGGAUCGUAAAACUCUGUUGGUAGAGAAGAACGUUGGUGAGAGUGGAAAGCUCAUCAAGUGACGGUAACUACCCAGAAAGGGACGGCUAACUACGUG
rnacentral:rRNA from 1 species